rnacentral:rRNA from 1 species
CGCGCAGGUGGUUCCUUAAGUCUGAUGUGAAAGCCCACGGCUCAACCGUGGAGGGUCAUUGGAAACUGGGGAACUUGAGUGCAGAAGAGGAAAGUGGAAUUCCAAGUGUAGCGGUGAAAUGCGUAGAGAUUUGGAGGAACACCAGUGGCGAAGGCGACUUUCUGGUCUGUAACUGACACUGAGGCGCGAAAGCGUGGGGAGCAAACAGGAUUAGAUACCCUGGUAGUCCACGCCGUAAACGAUGAGUGCUAAGUGUUAGAGGGUUUCCGCCCUUUAGUGCUGCAGCUAACGCAUUAAGCACUCCGCCUGGGGAGUACGGCCGCAAGGCUGAA